UGGGGAAUUUUGGACAAUGGGCGAAAGCCUGAUCCAGCAAUGCCGCGUGUGUGAAGAAGGCCUUCGGGUUGUAAGGCACUUUUGUCCGGAAAGAAAUGGCUCUGGUUAAUACCUGGGGUCGAUGACGGUACCGGAAGAAUAAGGACCGGCUAACUACGUGCCAGCAGCCGCGGUAAUACGUAGGGUCCAAGCGUUAAUCGGAAUUACUGGGCGUAAAGCGUGCGCAGGCGGUUGUGCAAGACCGAUGUGAAAUCCCCGAGCUUAACUUGGGAAUUGCAUUGGUGACUGCACGGCUAGAGUGUGUCAGAGGGGGGUAGAAUUCCACGUGUAGCAGUGAAAUGCGUAGAGAUGUGGAGGAAUACCGAUGGCGAAGGCAGCCCCCUGGGAUAACACUGACGCUCAUGCACGAAAGCGUGGGGAGCAAACAGGAUUAGAUACCCUGGUAGUCCACGCCCUAAACGAUGUCAACUAGUUGUUGGGGAUUCAUUUCCUUAGUAACGUAGCUAACGCGUGAAGUUGACCGCCU
rnacentral:rRNA from 1 species